rnacentral:rRNA from 1 species
AUUGAACGCUGGCGGUAUGCUUUACACAUGCAAGUCGAACGGCAGCACGGACUUCGGUCUGGUGGCGAGUGGCGAACGGGUGAGUAAUGUAUCGGAACGUGCCCAGUAGUGGGGGAUAACUACUCGAAAGAGUGGCUAAUACCGCAUGAGAUCUCUGGAUGAAAGCGGGGGACCGUAAGGCCUCGCGCUACUGGAGCGGCCGAUAUCAGAUUAGGUAGUUGGUAGGGUAAAGGCCUACCAAGCCAACGAUCUGUAGCUGGUCUGAGAGGACGACCAGCCACACUGGAACUGAGACACGGUCCAGACUCCUACGGGAGGCAGCAGUGGGGAAUUUUGGACAAUGGACGCAAGUCUGAUCCAGCAAUACCGCGUGCAGGACGAAGGCCUUCGGGUUGUAACUGCUUUGUACGGAACGAAAGACCUUCUUCUAAUACAGGGGGUCGAUGACGGUACCGUAAGAAUAAGCACCGGCUAACUACGUGCCAGCAGCCGCGGUAAACACGAG